rnacentral:rRNA from 1 species
AUACUGAGGGUGCAAGCGUUACUCGGAAUCACUGGGCGUAAAGCGCGCGCAGGCGGCUAUUUAAGUUGGAUGUGAAAGCCUACGGCUCAACCGUAGAACUGCAUCCAAAACUAUUUAGCUAGAGUGUGGGAGAGGAAGAUGGAAUUAGUUGUGUAGGGGUAAAAUCCGUAGAGAUAACUAGGAAUACCAAAAGCGAAGGCAAUCUUCUGGAACACUACUGACGCUGAGGCGCGAAAGCGUGGGGAGCAAACGGGAUUAGAAACCCUAGUAGUCC